UUGCUCAUUCCUGAUGACAAGUCAGACGCACACGGUACAUUUUUACUAGCCUUCGGAGCGCACUAACACUAUUGGGACAUAAAUUAUUAACUUUUUUGAACAAAACUACAUUUGUUAUGGACCUGGGAUGCCUAGAAGUGCCUUCUGAUAAAGAUAAUCAAAGGACCUGAGCCCUAGGACCAUGCCUCAGGACUACCUGGCAUGAUGACUCCUUGCUGUCCCCAGUCCACCUGGCCGUGCUGCUGCUCCAGUUUCAACUGUUCUGCCUGCGGCUAUGGAACCCUGACCUGUUCACCGGACGUGCUUGUUGCACCCUCGACAACUACUAUGAUUAUUAUUAUUUGACCAUGCUGGUCAUUUAUGAACAUUUUAACAUCUUGAUCAUGUUCUGUUAUAAUAUCCACC
rnacentral:lncRNA from 1 species